AUUAUUGUAGUUUAAAUAAAAUAUUAAAUUGCAAAUUUAAAGAUUAAUUAUAAUUUUACAAUAAUU